rnacentral:misc_RNA from 1 species
GGUAAGUGAAGGUCUUUUAUAGGAUCAUAUAUAAACAAAACCAACCUGCAAUCUAAAGUACGUGCUAGAAAUCGCCAUAAUAUAACUAGUGAAAUAUUUACAGAAGUGAAGGACCAAAAGCAAACUCCACAACUGAUCUAAGUUCAUCCCAAUCACCAUAAGCGAAGACCUCAUUCUCGUAAGGACUUGAAAUAUUCGACGAGGAUGCCAUAGAUGGAGGCUGAGUUAUAGAGCUCAGUUGGUCUGCAUGCAACUGUUUCCUCUCAUUGACAUGAUUAAUAACAGGCUUCUUAUCGCUAUAUUGAAUGUGUGGAGCACCAAAACUAAGGUAGUUUUCUCGACUGUUAGAAUCCACACUGCAUGUCUUAGAGCUUAUGUCAAUUGCAACUGGUUGACGUUUGUUAGAUAUUUCUCUCCAAUCUGGUGUGUACUUUCUGUGCGACACAUUUCUCUUGAAAAUUCGGCACAGUGUCCAAACUUCCGCUUCUUGGGCAGAGCUUUUAGCGUUGACAAGGUUGGUGGUGUUGCUAUCGUUGGCGGGGAGGCGAAACUCGUGCAUCAUCCACUCGGUUUUGGUGCCUUUUCCUGCACUUCCUCGGUAGUAUACUAAAGUUUUCUUGAGCCCAAUGCAGUCUCUGCCUUCUCCUCCAUUUGAGUACACAGGCUUAUCAAUGCCAGUUGCUUUCCAGAAUCCAGACCUCGUCACUCUAUUUGGUCUUAUGCUAUUCCUGUACUUCCUCCCUCUUUUGCAAAAGAAGUAUCCUUCUUUCUCUCCAACACUGCUAGGCUUUGGAAGAUCCCAUGGAUCGUAUUUGUAGAUAUCAACUUGUUUGAUGAGCUCAAUACUGAGUGGUUUCUUGUCAAUCUUUCUUCGAAGAUAGAACCCUACAAGUUCUUCAUCAGUUGGGUGGAAACGAAACCCUGGGAGUGCAACUUCUUCUUCAUCAUCGUCCAUAUGAUCUGGACGAGUUUCAGUAUUGUUGUUGCUGUUCAUCUUUCUUUCUGAUUCUGUGUGUUGG